GAUGGUGGCAUGCGCCUGUAGUCCCAGCUACUCCGGAAACUGAGGUGGGAGGAUCGCUUGAGCCCAGGAGUUUUGGGCUGUAGUGCACUAUGCCAAUCAGGUGUCCACACUAAAUUCAGCAUCAGUAUGGUGACCUCCUGGGAGUGGGAGACCACCAGGUUGCCUAAGGAGUAGUGAACUUGACCAGGUCAGAAAUGGAGCAGGUGAAAACUCCUAUACAGAUCAGUGCCUGUGACUAGCCACUGCACUCUUGUGGGAUCGCACCUGUGAAUAGCCACUGCACUCCAGCCUGGGCAACAUAGCGAGACUUGGUCUCUU
ensembl:misc_RNA Metazoa_SRP Metazoan signal recognition particle RNA